GAGAGAGAGAAAGAGAAAGAGAGAGAGAGAGAGAGAGAGAGAGAGAGAGAGAAAGAGAAUUAUAUGUGUCUUUUCUGAACACAGCGCAUUAUCACCGAUAGCUCAGUGAACAGCAAUUCAUUAUUUAAUGAUUUUUCAGUGGAAACUCAGGAUGAGAGAGACAAAGAGCAGGAGAGAAAGAGAGAAGGAAUUAUAUAUGUGAUCUAAACCAGCGAAACAUGAAUGAUGACAGUAUAUUACCAUCGAUAGCUCAGUGGAGAUAUUAUUAUUUAAUGAUUCUUUAGGCAAGUCGCACAUUACGUAUCUGUAUCACAUUUUCAUGAAGUAAUUUAUAAUUAAAAAUGUAUCCUGCAAAUAUUUUAA